CUUUCACUUCCUCUCGCCUCCGCCCGCCUCCCCAGCUCGCCGGCUGGCGUCGCCACCCCUCCUGGUCUCCGGCCACCGCUGUCGCCGCUGCUGCAAGCCAGGACGCACACUUCACUUUCCCGCUGGAGGCGGAGGAUGCCCCUUGCACCAGCCCCGGAGAAAUAGCCCCGAGCCCGGCUGGAGGAGCCGUGGCCGCGAGGAAGGAAAUCUGGACUCCGCUCUCCUUGAUGCCACUGCAGCAGCUGGCAGCUGGGAAGGCGCCCACAGAGCGGGCACGCCAAGCGGGACGAGGGAGUCUCUGAGAGAGACCCCAGGCGCCUGCUCGGCUCCGCUGGCAGAGUUUGCAAGUGGCUGACACCCCCGCAGGUGGCAGACCUGAGCCCUGAUGCUUGACCGGAUGUCAGCCCGCCAGCUUCUGUUUCCACGAGUGGACACACAGAGCGUGGUCCCCAGCUGGGAAAGAAGCCGGAAACGGCCUUGGUGAAAUAAUCCAGCCCCAACCGGCCUGAGCAGCUAAGAAAGGCGAGGAGGGCACUGUGGCUGCUGCUGACCUGAGAAUCCUCCUCCACUUGCUCCUCUCAAAGCUCUUUGGGGCUCUCUGAGGCCAAGAACAAGAUGUAGGAAAAUGGGACCAACUCCUGGGUGUCCUGAGCCUCAAAACUCCUCUUGUGGCCCAAAGACACUCACCUUGACCUUGGGUGGGCUGGCCAGUUCUGUAUUCCGUUCUCUUGGCCUCAGCCACAUGCUAGACGCCCUCCAGCUCUGAUCCUGGCAGUUGCCUUCGCAGAAGGAAGAAGACUGAAGGCUCCCAGGGGUUCCAACCCUAAGGGGAGCUGGGGAAAGGAAGCCCCCUCCAUCCCUGCCCUGUGGCCCCUCCAGCCAAGCCCCGGCCAGCCAGUCCGGAAUGAUCCCGCUAUGGCCAAGCUCUGGUUCAAGUUCCAGCGGUACUUCCGCCGAAAACCUGUGCGUUUCUUUACCUUCCUGGUGCUCUACCUGACGGCCGGGAGCCUCGUCUUCCUUCACGCUGGCUUUGUGGGCCAGCCGGCCGUCUCCCAGAACCAGGCCAGCCCUGCCGCCAGGGCCCCGGCCGAGGUCGCCGAGCUGCCCUUCCUGGGAGACUGGCAUCUGGGCAGAGGCUUCAGGGACGCGGGGGAAACCUUGAGCCUCGCCCACAGAUAUGGACACGGACCCUGGUUCAAGGGCAAAGAUGGGAAUGAGAGAGCCAAGCUGGGCGACUACGGAGGUGGAGCCUGGAGCCGAGCCCUCAAGGGGAGGGCUGUCCGGGAGAAGGAGGAGGAGCGAGCCAAGUACAUCGGCUGCUACCUGGACGACACCCAGAGUCGGGCCCUGCGAGGCGUGUCCUUUUUCGACUACAAAAAGAUGACCGUCUUCCGUUGCCAGGACAACUGUGCAGAACGGGGUUACCUGUAUGCCGGGCUGGAGUUCGGCGCCGAGUGCUACUGCGGCCACAAGAUCCAGGCGACAAACGUGAGCGAGGCCGAGUGCGACAUGGAGUGCAAGGGCGAGCGAGGCAGCCUGUGCGGCGGCGCCAACCGCCUCUCCGUCUACCGGCUGCAGCUGGCCCAGGAGUCGGCCCGCAGGUAUGGAAGCGCGGUCUUCCGAGGCUGCUUCCGCAGGCCCAACAACCUCUCCCUGGCCCUGCCCGUGACGGCCGCCAUGCCAAACAUGUCCGUGGACAAGUGCGUGGACCUCUGCACAGAGAAGGAGUACCCGCUGGCAGCCCUUGCGGGCACCGCCUGCCACUGUGGCUUCCCCACCACGCGAUUCCCCCUGCACGAGAGAGAAGACGAACAGCUGUGUGCCCAGAAGUGCAGCGCGGAGGAGUUUGAGAGCUGCGGGACCCCCAGUUACUUCAUCGUGUACCAGACGCAGGUGCAGGACAACCGCUGCAUGGACAGAAGGUUCCUCCCAGCCAAGUCCAAGCAGCUCAUCGCUCUGGCCAGCUUCCCAGGUGCCGGCAACACGUGGGCUCGCCACCUCAUCGAGCUGGCCACCGGCUUCUACACCGGCAGCUACUACUUCGAUGGUUCUCUCUACAACAAAGGGUUUAAAGGUGAGCGGGACCACUGGCGCAGCGGGAGGACCAUCUGCAUCAAGACACACGAGAGCGGCCAGAAGGAGAUCGAGGCCUUCGAUGCCGCCAUCCUGCUCAUCCGCAACCCCUACAAGGCCCUCAUGGCGGAGUUCAACCGCAAGUACGGCGGCCACAUCGGCUUCGCUGCGCAUGCGCACUGGAAGGGCAAAGAGUGGCCCGAGUUCGUGAGGAACUACGCCCCGUGGUGGGCCACGCACACGCUGGACUGGCUCAAGUUCGGCAAGAAGGUGCUGGUGGUGCACUUCGAGGACCUGAAGCAGGACCUGUUCGUGCAGCUGGGCCGGAUGGUCCGCCUGCUGGGCGUGGCCGUCCGCGAGGACCGGCUGCUGUGCGUGGAGAGCCAGAAGGACGGCAACUUCAAGCGCUCAGGGCUGCGCAAGCUGGAGUACGACCCCUACACGGCGGACAUGCAGAGGACCAUCCAGGCCUACAUCAAGCUGGUGGACGCGGCCCUGAAGGGGCGGAACCUCACGGGCGUGCCCGACGACUACUACCCCAGAUGAUGGGCCCGCCGGGGAGGGGCCUCGAGACCCCCGGGGACCCCGCCCACCCGUCUGGCCCCUUUUUGGUCUGGGGACAGCCCCCUCGGCUGCUGCUGGCCUUCAGUGCGUUUCCUGCGUGACACAGGAGCCUCAGGGGACAACCACCUGCUCACAGCCCUUCACAGCCCAGGAGGCCCCUGAUGGGGGAGCCCCAGCCACACAGGCUUCUGUCUCCCACGGCCCUGCCCCCACCACUCUGGUUCUCCCCGUGGGAGGGCGGGCUCCUGGGUGUCCCGGAGACUCGGGUGCCUCCCACGGUGCUGAGGACCUGGAUGCUGGGAAAGGUGCCCCCGGCGCUCCGCCCUCCGGGCUGGGCUCGCGCGGGCUCUUCUCUCCAGGCAGCAGCGAGCAGCCCAGGUUCAUCAGGCCACUUGGGUGGGAGAAGGGUUGCUGGAGGUUUCUCUCUAGCGUCCCGUUUCUGACACUCCCGGUGGGUGGGGAAGCCCCAGUGCUCGCAGGAAGUUCACGGGCACCACCAGGUAGGGUCCCUGCAUCACGAGCCCACCCCCAGGUCACACUGCUCCUGAGGACCGAGCCAAGGUCAAAUUCUGCCCUUUCCUCCCCCGCUGGGCCCAGGAAGUGACCUGGGGAUCCCUGGUCCCAUGUCCGGGGUUCUCCGGGCACCAACAGUUAUCCCAGCAGGAUGGCCGAGGGCCCGUGCAGACUCUGAGUAAGAACGAGAGCCCUGUCACACGUCGCUCCACCACGGGUGCGGCACGUGGAGCUCACACUGCCUCUGACCCCCGCCGACGGGGCCUGCGCUCUCCGGGCGAGAGAGCAAGGGUGCUCCAGACCAGGUGGGACCAGACCCAAAAGAGACCCAGCUCCCUUCCCGCACCAUCGGCCUGUCGUGAUCACAGUCCCAAAGGGGUGGCUUCCCGCUCCAGGCCUUUGAGGAAUGAAGCGAAUGCAAUGGCUCUUCACUUCCGCACAGACGCCGCUCCCCGAAGCUGAGUCAUCAAACCAAAGGAUUCCUGGGGACCCCGUGUCCCCUAUCCUCGAUCUUUGAAAGCAUGGAUCAGGAUCCCUCCGCUUCCCCACCUUGGAGACCAGCGGCUUCCCACCUGCGCUCCUGCACCGCCCCCAUCUCGUAGAUGCAAAAGCCAUAGGUCACAGCUCUUCACUGUUCUGUCCGGAGCACCCCCUCCCCAGCAGCCCCCCUGAAGCCUUGGGGUGCAAGGACAGGCUCACUCCCAAACAGCCAGGAGGCCAUGGAGAAGGCGAGCGUAAAGAGAUAUAUUUUUUUAAGAGGAAUAUGACUAAUACAUUCCGCCCCUUGGAAGCCGGCUGUGCAAAGCGAAGGGGCCAGGGGCUCAGACCUGCGAUUCUCGCCCCGAACCCCUCCCCUGUCGGCUGUGGGUGACCCCAGGGCCCCCCCCCAGGGGCUCUGAAUGUAUUUUGUACCAAGUUUCUUUCUCCCAGGCUCAUGUCUAGCCUUUGGGGAAGCCUCCCCCACUCCCACCCACAGGCCAGCUCGCUCUGGGAGCCUCUGGGCCCACGGCCUGGGCCAGCUCUUGGCCGGCGGUCACCUCGGGCCACGGGCCUCCGUCUGAAGAUUCCUCAGGUCAACACCAUCAUUAAAAUCUGCGAUCCGCCGGCGUGCAGGGGGAGAAACAUGGAAAUGAGAAGAAACAGGCGGAACAUCGAGGAGGAAGAGGUGAUAAAAUAUUCGUCCCCUCACCCACCCCCCAGUACCCGCCGCCUUAAAUCCAAUUUCAAACGAAGGUGGGGAGGCAUCCGAGCAGGCCCCGCGUCUGCCUUUCAGGCCGCUGAGAGCUAAUUGAACUGAACAG